GACGAACGCUGGCGGCGUGCUUAACACAUGCAAGUCGAACGGAAAGGCCCUGCUUUUGUGGUGUGCUCGAGUGGCGAACGGGUGAGUAACACGUGAGUAACCUGCCCUUGACUUUGGGAUAACUUCAGGAAACUGGGGCUAAUACCGGAUAGGAGCUCCUGCUGCAUGGUGGGGGUUGGAAAGUUUCGGCGGUUGGGGAUGGACUCGCGGCUUAUCAGCUUGUUGGUGGGGUAGUGGCUUACCAAGGCUUUGACGGGUAGCCGGCCUGGGAGGGUGACCGGCCACAAUGGGACUGAGAUACGGCCCAGACUCCUACGGGAGGCAGCAGUGGGGAAUAUUGCACAAUGGGCGGAAGCCUGAUGCAGCAACGCCGCGUGCGGGAUGACGGCCUUCGGGUUGUAAACCGCUUUCGCCUGUGACGAAGCGUGAGUGACGGUAAUGGGUAAAGAAGCACCGGCUAACUACGUG
rnacentral:rRNA from 1 species